ensembl:snRNA U6 U6 spliceosomal RNA
GUGCUUGCUUCGGCAGCACAUAUACUAAAAUUGGAACGCUACAGAGAUUAGCAUGGCCCCUGUGCAAGGAUGACACGCAAAUUCGUGAAGCAUUCCAUAUUUUU